rnacentral:sRNA from 1 species
UUCUAGCCCCGGUAGCAGCGGCAUCCUUUUAUCUCUUUCUCAAAAAGAGAUAAAAGAUAUAGCGGAUGACGGGAAUAGCU